rnacentral:misc_RNA from 1 species
UCCACGCACUGGCACAUACGCAGCUGCAGCAGACUGUCCCAUCAAGCUCAACCAUUACGCCCCCCCCACGCACACCCACAAAGAAAACUCCACCUUUUUCCUCAUUCCUCCCUCCCUCCUGUUACUGUGUAUGUGUGUCUGCGUACACCCUGCCUCCGUCUGCUGGGAACGCCUACCACCCCACCCCCGCACGCAUGCACGAAGGCACAGAAAAUGAGUAUCAGCGUCAUGUCCACUCCGGUGCCAGCGUCGUCAUCGGCGGAUACGGGCGAAAUGAGCCUCAUCGAGGCCCUCGGCGUCGCCAUUGAGGCAGCCGACAAGGGCAGCCGCAUCAUCUGGCAAUGCGUUGAAAAACGCCGCAUAGCGAUGGCAGCUGCAGCCACCUUCCACACGACCAGCGCGCUUGCAGCCGGCGGCGCGGCCUCGGUGGAGUGCGAAAACAAGACUUCUGCGACGAACCUAGUGACGCAGCACAGCAAACAAUGUAGAGAGACUAUCAUUCGCAUUCUUCGCCAGUACUCGGAGGAGGUGCAGCGUGAGAAGCCGCACCUUCGCUUCGCCUUCUUGACAGAGGAGCUCAACCCCGGCACCCCCCUCUCCGACGACUACACAUGGGUCGUGGACCCCAUCGACGGCGCCGCUUCGUUUGUGCACGGGUUGCCAGACUGCUGCAUCAGCAUUGGGCUCACCUACCGCAAGCAGCCGGUGCUGGCCGUGGUGUUCACACCCUUCAUCAGCUCCGGCGUUCGACUCACCGUAGCGGCUGCGGCGGUGCUCAACGUCGCACAGCAGCAGCAGCAGCAGCAGUAUCAGCACCAGCAGCAGCAGCUGGUGAUGUCUCCGACUUUAUCAGUCACGGCCCCUGCCAUUUCUGGGACCAUGUGUGGCUCCGUCGGGGCCGCCCCUCUCACCCCCAUGGACGUCAGCAAGACCAAGAUGCUGGAUGAGCACGGGACUGCCGCUGCGCCGACAACUGCCCUGCCCCCAACGCCUCCAACGCCGCCGUUCCCUUCGUUGAGGGCUGCUGCUGCUGCUACAGCGGCGGCUUCUGCAUCGCCACCCAGCGUACCCAUCAUCACGCACACCACGCCGAGCGUCGUGCCGGAGUGCAACGGCGAGCUCUUCACGGCCAUCAAGGGCUUUGGUGCCUUUGUCAACGGGCGGCAGGUACGCGUAAACGCCAAGGUUGUGCCGGCCACGUCGGUUGUGGUGUUCAACCACCCUUGCGGUGUGAUGCUGUCGACGGCCGAGGCGGCCAGCCCCGAAGGCGCGGCCAUCCGUCGUCGCAAGUGCGACGCCGCGAUUGACUGCAGCAUGGCCAUGCGCGAGGAGCUGCUUCGCCUGCCGGUGGCGGCGCUGCGGUGCUAUGGUAGCUGCGCGGCGACCCUCGCGCAGGUGGCGGCGGGGCGCGUGGACGCGUACCUUGAGCCGGCCGGUAAGGCAUGGGACGUCUGUGCCGGAUCGCUGCUCGUCACAGAGGCUGGCGGUGUUGUGUGCAAUAUGCUCGGCAGGCCGCUCGACAUGGCACAUGACACGACCAUCGUGGCCGCGGCAACGCAAGAGAUGGCCGAUUUGAUGACGGAGAAGUGCGUGCGGCACGGCUUUGGCCAGUACUGGCUGGUCGAAAAAGAGUGACACUGUUCCCUCGUCGUGCCCUCCCCUGAGGCAACGGACGGAGAAAGGCACUGAGCGUGGCCCACAGGAGGGACACGCGCACGGAACGGGGGCGCGCACCCAAUCCUGGUGGAGAGGGGAGGGGAGGGAAAAGUGCCUUUGGUGCACUGUGUGGCUGCGCAGGCGUGCGCCGGCGGAGACUUGCACAGGCACACGUAAAUACGUGCGACCAAACGCAAGCCAUCUCUCUGCCCCCCCCCCUCGACUACCACCACCACCACCCUCUCCCCUCAACCGACACCAACGUCCCUGCCCCAACCCCACCUCGCGUUGCUCGGCAG